rnacentral:tRNA from 1 species
GGGCGAAUGGUUUAGUGGUAUAAUACUCCCUUAGCAUGUUCUCCCCUCUGGAAGAUACAACUCUGGGAGUGGUCCAGGGUUCGAUUCCCUGUUCGUCCA